AACGAACGCUGGCGGCAGGCCUAACACAUGCAAGUCGAGCGCCCCGCAAGGGGAGCGGCGGACGGGUGAGUAACGCGUGGGAACGUACCUUUUGCUUCGGAAUAGCCUCGGGAAACUGGGAGUAAUACCGAAUGUGCCCUAUGGGGGAAAGAUUUAUCGGCAAAAGAUCGGCCCGCGUUGGAUUAGGUAGUUGGUGGGGUAAUGGCCUACCAAGCCGACGAUCCAUAGCUGGUUUGAGAGGAUGAUCAGCCACACUGGGACUGAGACACGGCCCAGACUCCUACGGGAGGCAGCAGUGGGGAAUCUUAGACAAGGGGCGCAAGCCUGAUCUAGCCAUGCCGCGUGAGCGAUGAAGGCCUUAGGGUUGUAAAGCUCUUUCGUGGGGGAAGAUAAUGACUGUACCCCAAGAAGAAGCCCCGGCUAACUCCGUGCCAGCCGCCGCGGUA
rnacentral:rRNA from 1 species